GCUGGCUGCUCCCGCUCGCCUCUUGGGGUGCGCUCAGCUCCAGCCCAACUCCUCCAGCUCCGCCGGCUCCAGCACCGCUCCAGCCCGAUUCCAGCCCGGUUCCAGCCCGAUUCCAGCCCGGUUCCAGCCCAGCUCCGUCCCGGCUCCGGUUCUUCUCCGCCACGCCUUUCUGUCGACGCUGAGGAGCAGCUUCGCAGGAAAAUCCCAGAAACCUUUGCAAAAAGCUUACAAUGAAAUUUAAGAAGUUCUACGAUUUCGGCGCCAUUUUCGAGUGGAGUGAGAGUAUUGGAAAAGUUUGGCUGGAAGGUUACCAUCGAUGUUUUUUUUUUUCCUCCACAAUUCCGUGUCCAUGUAAAAAUGACUUGUAAUAUAGCCAAGAAAAGACGGAAUUUUCAUUCCAACUUAAGGAGUGGGGCUGUUAUUAUUAAUGGCUUUAUUUAUCAUGACCUAAUGCAUUUGUUAGCACUGGAUCAUUAUCUGUUAUGUUAGGAAUUUUGUAUUUAGUUUAAUUACAGACUCUGUAUAUUUUAUUAAUUAAUUAAUAGGACCCAGCAUUCAUUGUACUAGUUUCGAAAAACUGACAUAAUUUUAAAUGAAAAUACAGGAAAUUUGGCAACAUUAAAUUUCUGUUUCUGUAUACAGAAUGUUUUUUGCUUUCAAAGGCACUGUAGUUUUGUUGUUUUAGUUAUUAGGUUUGUGGUUAAGGACAAAAGGAUGGUUUUUGUGCUUUCCUGAAUGCUUUGUUUAAACAAGGAAAUGAAUGUAACUUGUUGC
ensembl:processed_transcript RIKEN cDNA C430049B03 gene